rnacentral:sRNA from 1 species
GUUGCUGAUUUUAUUUAUAGUUUGUUGAUAGAAUAUAUUUUCUAAAUUUUGAG